AGAGUUUGAUCAUGGCUCAGAUUGAACGCUGGCGGCAGGCCUAACACAUGCAAGUCGAACGGUAACAGGAAACAGCUUGCUGUUUCGCUGACGAGUGGCGGACGGGUGAGUAAUGUCUGGGAAACUGCCUGAUGGAGGGGGAUAACUACUGGAAACGGUAGCUAAUACCGCAUAACGUCGCAAGACCAAAGAGGGGGACCCUCGGGCCUCUUGCCAUCGGAUGUGCCCAGAUGGGAUUAGCUUGUUGGUGGGGUAACGGCUCACCAAGGCGACGAUCCCUAGCUGGUCUGAGAGGAUGACCAGCCACACUGGAACCGAGACACGGUCCAGACUCCUACGGGAGGCAGCAGUGGGGAAUAUUGCACAAUGGGCGCAAGCCUGAUGCAGCCAUGCCGCGUGUAUGAAGAAGGCCUUCGGGUUGUAAAGUACUUUCAGCGGGGAGGAAGGGAGUAAAGUUAAUACCUUUGCUCAUUGACGUUACCCGCAGAAGAAGCACCGGCUAACUCCGUGCCAGCAGCCGCGGUAAUACGGAGGGUGCAAGCGUUAAUCGGAAUUACUGGGCGUAAAGCGCACGCAGGCGGUUUGUUAAGUCAGAUGUGAAAUCCCCGGGCUCAACCUGGGAACUGCAUCUGAUACUGGCAAGCUUGAGUCUCGUAGAGGGGGGUAGAAUUCCAGGUGUAGCGGUGAAAUGCGUAGAGAUCUGGAGGAAUACCGGUGGCGAAGGCGGCCCCCUGGACGAAGACUGACGCUCAGGUGCGAAAGCGUGGGGAGCAAACAGGAUUAGAUACUCUGGUAGUCCACGCCGUAAACGAUGUCGACUUGGAGGUUGUGCCCUUGAGGCGUGGCUUCCGGAGCUAACGCGUUAAGUCGACCGCCUGGGGAGUACGGCCGCAAGGUUAAAACUCAAAUGAACUGACGGGGGCCCGCACAAGCGGUGGAGCAUGUGGUUUAAUUCGAUGCAACGCGAAGAACCUUACCUGGUCUUGACAUCCACGGAAGUUUUCAGAGAUGAGAAUGUGCCUUCGGGAACCGUGAGACAGGUGCUGCAUGGCUGUCGUCAGCUCGUGUUGUGAAAUGUUGGGUUAAGUCCCGCAACGAGCGCAACCCUUAUCCUUUGUUGCCAGCGGUCCGGCCGGGAACUCAAAGGAGACUGCCAGUGAUAAACUGGAGGAAGGUGGAUGACGUCAAGUCAUCAUGGCCCUUACGACCAGGGCUACACACGUGCUACAAUGGCGCAUACAAAGAGAAGCGACCUCGCGAGAGCAAGCGGACCUCAUAAAGUGCGUCGUAGUCCGGAUUGGAGUCUGCAACUCGACUCCAUGAAGUCGGAAUCGCUAGUAAUCGUGGAUCAGAAUGCCACGGUGAAUACGUUCCCGGGCCUUGUACACACCGCCCGUCACACCAUGGGAGUGGGUUGCAAAAGAAGUAGGUAGCUUAACCUUCGGGAGGGCGCUUACCACUUUGUGAUUCAUGACUGGGGUGAAGUCGUAACAAGGUAACCGUAGGGGAACCUGCGGUUG
rnacentral:rRNA from 1 species